rnacentral:rRNA from 1 species
UACGUAGGGGGCAAGCGUUGUCCGGAAUCAUUGGGCGUAAAGAGCGUGUAGGCGGCCAGAUAAGUCCGCUGUGAAAACUCGAGGCUCAACUUCGAGCUGUCGGUGGAAACUAUUUGGCUAGAGUCCGGAAGAGGAGAGUGGAAUUCCUGGUGUAGCGGUGAAAUGCGCAGAUAUCAGGAAGAACACCCGUGGCGGAAGGCGGCUCUCUGGUACGGAACUGACGCUGAGACGCGAAAGCCAGGGGAGCAAACGGGG